GUGGGGAAUAUUGGACAAUGGGCGAAAGCCUGAUCCAGCCAUGCCGCGUGUGUGAAGAAGGUCUUCGGAUUGUAAAGCACUUUAAGUUGGGAGGAAGGGCAGUAAGUUAAUACCUUGCUGUUUUGACGUUACCGACAGAAUAAGCACCGGCUAACUUCGUGCCAGCAGCCGCGGUAAUACGAAGGGUGCAAGCGUUAAUCGGAAUUACUGGGCGUAAAGCGCGCGUAGGUGGUUUUGUAAGUUGGAGGUGAAAUCCCCGGGCUCAACCUGGGAACUGCCACCAAAACUGCAUGACUAGAGUACGGUAGAGGGUAGUGGAAUUUCCUGUGUAGCGGUGAAAUGCGUAGAUAUAGGAAGGAACACCAGUGGCGAAGGCGACUACCUGGACUGAUACUGACACUGAGGUGCGAAAGCGUGGGGAGCAAACAGGAUUAGAUACCCCAGUAGUCC
rnacentral:rRNA from 1 species